rnacentral:rRNA from 1 species
UACGUAGGUGGCAAGCGUUGUCCGGAAUCACUGGGCGUAAAGCGCGCGCAGGCGGCGAUCUACGUCUGGGGUGAAAGCCCGGAGCUCAACUCCGGGACUGCCUUGGAUACGGGAUCGCUUGAGGAUUGGAGAGGCAAGGGGAAUUCCACGUGUAGCGGUGAAAUGCGUAGAUAUGUGGAGGGACACCUGUGGCGAAGGCGCCUUGCUGGCCAAUUUCUGACGCUGAGGCGCGAAAGCGUGGGGAGCAAACAGG